rnacentral:rRNA from 1 species
UACGAAGGGGGGCUAGCGUUGCUCGGAAUCACUGGGCGUAAAGCGCACGUAGGCGGCUUUUUAAGUCAGGGGUGAAAUCCUGGAGCUCAACUCCAGAACUGCCUUUGAUACUGAGAAGCUUGAGUCCGGGAGAGGUGAGUGGAACUGCGAGUGUAGAGGUGAAAUUCGUAGAUAUUCGCAAGAACACCGGUGGCGAAGGCGCCACUCUGGGGCCGAAACUGACGCUGAGGAGCGAAAAGCGUGGGGUAGCAAACAGGG